AGUCGAACGGCAGCACGGACAGCCAUGCUCUGGGUGACGAGUGGCGAACGGGUGAGUAAUACAUCGGAACGUGUCCUGGAGUGGGGGAUAGCCCGGCGAAAGCCGGAUUAAUACCGCAUACGCUCUAUGGAGGAAAGCGGGGGAUCGCAAGACCUCGCGCUCAAGGGGCGGCCGAUGGCAGAUUAGCUAGUUGGUGGGGUAAAGGCCUACCAAGGCGACGAUCUGUAGCUGGUCUGAGAGGACGACCAGCCACACUGGGACUGAGACACGGCCCAGACUCCUACGGGAGGCAGCAGUGGGGAAUUUUGGACAAUGGGCGCAAGCCUGAUCCAGCAAUGCCGCGUGUGUGAAGAAGGCCUUCGGGUUGUAAAGCACUUUUGUCCGGAAAGAAAACUUCCUGGUUAAUACCCGGGGAGGAUGACGGUACCGGAAGAAUAAGCACCGGCUAACUACGUGCCAGCAGCCGCGGUAAUACGUAGGGUGCAAGCGUUAAUCGGAAUUACUGGGCGUAAAGCGUGCGCAGGCGGUUCGUUAAGACAGAUGUGAAAUCCCCGGGCUUAACCUGGGAACUGCAUUUGUGACUGGCGGACUCGAGUAUGGCAGAGGGGGGUAGAAUUCCACGUGUAGCAGUGAAAUGCGUAGAGAUGUGGAGGAAUACCGAUGGCGAAGGCAGCCCCCUGGGCCAAUACUGACGCUCAUGCACGAAAGCGUGGGGAGCAAACAGGAUUAGAUACCCUGGUAGUCCACGCCCUAAACGAUGUCAACUGGUUGUCGGGUCUUCAUUGACUUGGUAACGUAGCUAACGCGUGAAGUUGACCGCCUGGGGAGUACGGUCGCAAGAUUAAAACUC
rnacentral:rRNA from 1 species